GUCGGAUUCUUCUGUGGGCGAUGAAGAUGUGAAGUUUGCACAAACCACUUCUUCGCAAAACCUUUUUGUGAUGUGAUUGUAGUAUCAGAACUUGAAAAUUCAUUGUAGACACCUCUGCUGGAAGACAUCAAGCUUCUUGCUGAUAAUUGUUGACACCUUCCACGUUUAAUUGGCAUAAAUGGCUGUAGGAAUCACAAUACAGCAAUGUUAAGGACGUAUCAAGAAUAGGCUUCCAUUGGUGAAAAUGCUGAGCUUGGCCCUUGCAACUCUAAACUGAAUAAAGUGGAAGUCUAAAAUUGUUUGAUGGAUGGAUGCUUCCAAUAGAAGGGGUAGGAUGCAACUGAAGGCGAACUGAAGAGGACGGUCUGUUGUAUGCCUAAUGAAAAUCGGAAUCUAAAGAUGCAAUAGGUAGGAUGGUGUUGCAGUACUGUUCCUUCAUGAAUCCAUUGUCCUGAGAUGAAAUUCCAUCCUCAUGCAGGGUAUGUAGAUUUUCCACAUAUAACAAAGACAUAUGUGCUAUAUUAAUCGUCAAUUAAUAAUAAGAAUUUCAC